GACGAACGCUGGCGGCGUGCUUAACACAUGCAAGUCGAGCGGUAAGGCCCCUUCGGGGGUACACGAGCGGCGAACGGGUGAGUAACACGUGAGCAAUCUGCCCUUCACUUUGGGAUAACUCUGGGAAACGAGAGCUAAUACCGAAUACGACCACUUCAGGCAUCUGAUGGUGGUGGAAAGUUCCGGCGGUGAAGGAUGAGCUCGCGGCCUAUCAGCUAGUUGGUGGAGUAACGGCCCACCAAGGCUUCGACGGGUAGCCGGCCCGAGAGGUGACCGGCCACACUGGGACUGAGACACGGCCCAGACUCCUACGGAGGCAGCAGUGGGGAAUAUUGGACAAUGGGCGAAAGCCUGAUCCAGCAACGCCGCGUGAGGGA
rnacentral:rRNA from 1 species